rnacentral:rRNA from 1 species
UGGGGAAUAUUGCACAAUGGGGGAAACCCUGAUGCAGCAACGCCGCGUGAGUGAUGACGGCCUUCGGUUGUAAGCUCUGUCUUCAGGGACGAUAAUGACGGUACCUGAGGAGGAAGCCACGGCUAACUACGUGCCAGCAGCCGCGGUAAUACGUAGGUGGCGAGCGUUGUCCGGAUUUACUGGGCGUAAAGGGAGCGUAGGCGGACUUUUAAGUGAGAUGUGAAAUACUCGGGCUCAACUUGAGUGCUGCAUUUCAAACUGGAAGUCUAGAGUGCAGGAGAGGAGAAUGGAAUUCCUAGUGUAGCGGUGAAAUGCGUAGAGAUUAGGAAGAACACCAGUGGCGAAGGCGAUUCUCUGGACUGUAACUGACGCUGAGGCUCGAAAGCGUGGGGAGCAAACAGGAUUAGAUACC